rnacentral:rRNA from 1 species
UACGUAGGGUGCAAGCGUUGUCCGGAAUUAUUGGGCGUAAAGAGCUCGUAGGCGGUUUGUCGCGUCGGCUGUGAAAACCUGGGGCUCAACCCCGGGCCUGCAGCCGAUACGGGCAGACUAGAAUUCGGUAGGGGAGACUGGAAUUCCUGGUGUAGCGGUGAAAUGCGCAGAUAUCAGGAGGAACACCGGUGGCGAAGGCGGGUCUCUGGGCCGAUAUUGACGCUGAGGAGCGAAAGCGUGGGGAGCAAACAGG